UACGUAGGCAGCGAGCGUUGUUCGGAGUUACUGGGCGUAAAGAGUGCGUAGGCGGUUUUCUAAGUUUGGUGUGAAAUCUCCCGCUUAACUGGGAGGGUGCGCCGAAAACUGGAAGGCUUGAGUAUGGGAGAGGUAAGCGGAAUUCCUGGUGUAGCGGUGAAAUGCGUAGAUAUCAGGAAGAACACCCGUGGCGAAGGCGGCUCUCUGGAACGCAACUGACGCUGAGACGCGAAAGCGUGGGGAGCAAACAGG
rnacentral:rRNA from 1 species